AAACACUUCAUUUGUAGGAUCCUGUUUCAAGAAAUUAAUUCAAAAUUUUCUUGUGACCAUUUCUAUUUCAAAUAAAUUAAUUCAAUUUUCCACUUCAUAUUUUAAAUAAAUAGCCACUCCUUAUUAUAUGGUAAUGAAGGAGUAACUGAGGUCAAUGAUCUUAAUUUAUGCAGUUCUUCUUCUUGCUUGGCGCAUAGUGUUGAAGAUGAGAGCAGACUGAGGUCAAUGAUCGGAACCGGAGAUAAUGGAGCAGAAACCUCUUGAAUUGAAUCACCAUCUCUACAAAUAUAUGAUGCUGGCGGUUCUUCACCAUUGAGGACCAGUUCCUGGACACGCUUUGAUAGAAAAAUCCCUGCUCCAGCCAUGUUGUUUCAGGCAGUAAGAAUUACUGAGGACUUGCUAAUGCUAUUUGCGAUUUGCGAGGUGGUGGGUGACUAGUCUAAUAACAACGAUUGAUGGUAGCAUGUCUGUACUCAUUUACAGUUGGACAAUACAAGUAAACAACUUGGAUGGGCAUCAUGCAUCAUUAUAUUUCAUUUCCUGUAGCAAUUUUAGAAGUUUGUGUUAUGACAUAUUCGGUGGGUGGCUAUCAAUUUUGUCACUUGUCAAUCACUCAUUGUCAUGACAUGUGUCUCUUCUUUUGGCAAAUGCUCAUUCUUAAUGACAAAUAUAAUUACAUGGACCUCGUGUAAAAUGUAACUGCACACCGGGUUGUUGAAUAAG
rnacentral:lncRNA from 1 species